CACCGAAAUAUUUUGUAUUUGACGUCAUAAAUCUAAUGUACGUCAUUGUAAGUACAGCUAAUGUAUUAGCGCACGUACAUAUAAAAAACCGGGAGCCCAGUAAAAUAGUCACAAACAUUGAGACAGUUGUCAGCGACACACUUCAAAUAAUAAUAACAAUUAUUUAAACUUUGUUUGACACUCGAUCUACUUGAAAUAAUAUCGAUUGAAACAUCUGAGUAAAAUAAUUCUUAUUCAAAAUGCCGAUUGUUUCAAAAUUUUUAUUAUUAAUUACCAUCCUUAUGAUAAUAACAACAUACACAAUGGCAGUGCCUGCAUUUGGAAAUAUGUGGGGAGGCGCAUGGAGUGGGACCCGUUCUAAAAAAAGCUGAUUCUAUUUUCUACAACAACAAAAUUUAAAAAAUUUAGGAAUAUUCCUAAGUGCGCACCUCAAUCGCUUAUUUUAUUUUUAAUUAUUAAUUAUACUUUAUAAUAUUAAUUUACUUUUUAUUAUUUAUUAUGAACUUUUAUUAAACUUAUAAAUUAUCAA